GUCUGGCUGGCUCAGCCGGUAGAGCAUGUGACUCUCGAUCUCGAGGUUGUGAGUUCGAGCCCCGCAUUAGGCG